UCCAAGAAGAAAUUGUUAGAGCUCCACCUGUUGGUGUAAAGGUAGAUAGCCACUAUGAGUCUGUUAUGCCCAACUCAUUAGCGGCCCUAUGAAGUGAAAAACACACCCAAAAUAAUUACAAAAGACACCUUUUAAACAAUAAAAUCCAUGUAAUUUAUUAAGAAAAACAUGCAAAAAAAAUAAAAAUCCCAGGCAGAGAGGUAGCAAGACCAGCAGUUCCCGCACCAGAUGCCUCUCUCCUCUGCUUUUUUAGCUUUUUAAGCGCUCCUUCCUCAGCCAGGUGCAGUGCAUCUUGUUAGGUGAUGCAACACACCUGAGCAGAUCAACAGAGAAGAAAAGAGACAACAGCACAGCGCAAACACAGCUGUAACACUCACAUAAACCCACCACUUCUUGUUUUAUUGUUGGCUGCCCACGUUUCAUUGUCAUUAGAGAUAUGAAGGUGUUUUCUAGGGAAAUCCAGCAUUGUAUAUUUUUAAAGGGCAACACUGGACAAGUCGCUGCAAACGAGGGUCUUAAAGACCUUAAUUACACCUGAUGUUAAAGUCAAAGACACACUGUUGGUUGGUUUCCCUUCAGAAGACGAGUGCAGGUCCAAGAACUUAACCCCCCUGAGGUCCAGCACAACCAGCAGAACGAGAACAGGAACCCAAAUCCAGCGGACGAGCUCGCUGACAGUCACAGGGAGGAACCUGCUGCUGCAGAGGACGGAUCAGACACACAGGGACCGAUGACAGCGGUCUUAGUGCCUCCUCACAGGGUGUCAGUCAUGUGGACGGCCUGGGUUUUCUUCAAAACUUUCUUCUCCUCCCUCAUACCUGAGGUUCCUCAGGGUGUUGCCAACUGACCACCCAGGACCGACUGUUGAUCUGAACAGCAGACUCUUUUAUUUCCCAGCUGGGAACAAUAAUGUCCAGAGAUGGAAAGAAAAAGAACUAGAAUGAAUAAAAACGAGGACAUUGUUUAAACAAUGACUGGGACCUUCCUGCUGACAGAAGUUCAAAGAGCUCCUCUUUUUAAUGUGUGAAACACAAACAACACCAGCAAAAGAAUGCAAUGCCAGACCCCUGAAUUUCCCCAAAUGGACUGGAAACAAAGGACACAAAAGACUAUAAACAUCAUACCACAAUAACAAUGAUAAUGCAUUGUUGAACAGGAUCGCAGCUCUCCAUCUGACCAAACGUCUACUGUCUAAGGAUUGUGGGUUUUAGCCGUGACACGAGACAACAGUAGGUGGCAGCUGAGGGUAAAAAAUACAUUUUAUGGUGCCUAAGUUAUUAGAACUAAGGAGGAUUAUUGGCAUUGGCUUUCUGAUCAUCUAGGAUUCAAUUUCAUAAUGAAGAAUGUGAUCCAGAUCAAAGAUUUUCUGUUGAAGUGAAAAUCCACACACAGACAGAACUCAGUACAGUACCUUAUGGCUCUCUGUCCCUCUGACAGGACACGUUUAUUUUGGCUUUUACAAACUGGUCCAUGCAUACAUAGACUCUGGGUUUGAUGACAGCUGUAAAAGUUGGGCAGAUUUUUGUUUUUUACUUUUUUGACAGACUUUGCUUCUGACUGUGGACGCAUAACCUGAAAGCAUUUGAGACAAAUUGGUAGACAUUACAGCUUUUUUACUUUGACAACAGUCUGUGUUUGGAAAUGACUCAUGAAAUUUGAAGUCUGCUAUUUCAAAAUGUGAAAAACAAGAACUUGAUUUGAAGUUGGUUUUUUUCUUCUAAAAAUACAAUACUUAAAAUGACUGCACUCAAGUUGCAAAUUACAAUCAAACUUUUCAAUAUUAAAAAAAAAGUCAAAAAUGAAGUUUCUUGGAUGGAUUUCGGCUUUUAUUUGCUUCUUUACAGUCACUGUAGUAAAAGCCAGCAAACACUGACUGUGACUUCAGUUCUCAAACAAAACAAAAUCUGAACCAAAGUCAUGAUUCACAAAACUAAACAAACAUUUUGUAGUUUACUUUAGCAGCUCUGUUGUUGGUGGAUUUUCCUGUUUAUUGAGCCACGAGUGAAGGUGAUUGUGACCAAAUGCAAACUAGACUGCUUCUUUUUGCCAAAUCACUGGGUUAAUUGUGUAAAAUAGUGAUGUUGCCAUAAAUCAAGUUUUGUAAAUAUAUUCUGUAUUUUCAAAAAGCACUUUACAACAUGCAUCUUAUGCAGGCUUCUUUACAUUUAUGCUUUAUUAUUCUUCAUGGGAAGAUUAUUAAUAUAAAUAUAACGCCGACAGGGCUAA